rnacentral:rRNA from 1 species
UACGAAGGGGGCUAGCGUUGUUCGGAUUUACUGGGCGUAAAGCGCACGUAGGCGGAUCUUUAAGUCAGAGGUGAAAUCCCGGAGCUCAACUUCGGAACUGCCUUUGAUACUGGCAAUCUAGAGUCCGGAAGAGGUGAGUGGAAUUCCGAGUGUAGAGGUGAAAUUCGUAGAUAUUCGGAGGAACACCAGUGGCGAAGGCGGCUCACUGGUCCGGGAACUGACGCUGGAGGUGACGAAGCGUGGGGAGCAAACAGG